CUAAAUACUACCCAGUGACCGAUAGCGUAUAGUACUGUGAAGGAAAGGUGAAAAGCACCCCGGGAGGGGAGUGAAAAAGAACCUGAAACCCUGUGCCUACAAGCACCUAGAGCGCGUCAAUGCGUGAUAGGGUACUUUUUGUAGAACGGUCCGGCGAGCGAUUGUAUGCAGCAAGGUUAAGGACUUAAGGUCUGGAGCCGAAGCGAAAGCGAGUUUGAAAAGGGCGUUAAGUUGCAUAUAAUGGGCCCGAAACCGGGUGACCUACCCAUGGUCAGGUUGAAGUGGAAGUAAAAUUCCAUGGAGGACCGAACCGACCUCCGUUGAAAAGGCGGCGGAUGAACUGUGGGUAGCGGAGAAAUUCCAAUCGAACCCGGAGAUAGCUGGUUCUCCCCGAAAUAGUUUUAGGACUAGCCUCAAGUUAGAUACCUGGAGGUAAAGCACUGAAUAGCCUAGCGGCCGAGAGGUUAGCGAAGCUUAUCAAACUCAGAAUGCCAGAGUAUUGAUGCUUGGGAGUCAGACAGUGUCAGAUAAAUGUCAUUGUCAAAAGGGAAACAGCCCAGAUCUACAGCUAAGGUCCCAAAGUCAGGUUAAGUGGAAAACGAUGUGAAGAUACGCAGACAACCAGGAUGUUGGCUCAGAAGCAGCCACUCAUUCAAAGAGUGCGUAAUAGCUCACUGGUCGAGCGUCUUUGCGCGGAGAAUUUAACGGGGCUAAACCUGACACCGAAGCUUAGGCAAUACAGCAAUGUAUUGGGUAGGGGAGCGUUGUAUACGCGGUGAAACAGUAGCGCAAGCGGCUGUGGAGUGUAUAGAAGUGAGAAUGCCGGAAUGAGUAGCGCGAAUGCAGUGAGAAUCUGCAUGGCCGAAAGCCUCAGGUUUUUGGAGGAAGGUUCGUCCGCUCCAAGUUAGUCGGGAGCUAAGGUGAGGCCGGAAGGCGUAGCCGAUGCACAGACGGUAGAGAUUCCGUCACCACCAAAAGAGUUAAGCACAGGGACACAUUUGAAGUCUCAGAGCCGGGUGUUGGUUCCGGUAGAGAUCGAGGGAAAUUAGUACCGAAGUCUGAGAUGGAAGAUGGCGAGAAAAGCUGUGUGUAUUUCUGAGGUGCCCGUACCGCAAACCGACACAGGUAGGUAGGAAGAAGAUUCUAAGGCCAACGGGAGAAGGGUUGUUAAGGAACUCGGCAAAUUGACCCCGUAACUUCGGGAGAAGGGGUGCUCCAGAGAUGGAGCCGCAGAGAAUCGGCCCAAGCAACUGUUUACCAAAAACACAGGUUUGUGCUAAAUCGAAAGAUGACGUAUACGAGCUGACGCCUGCCCGGUGCUGGAAGGUUAAGAGGAGAUGUGCAAGCAUUGAAUCGAAGCCCCAGUGAACGGCGGCCGUAACUAUAACGGUCCUAAGGUAGCGAAAUUCCUUGUCAGGUAAG
rnacentral:rRNA from 1 species